rnacentral:rRNA from 1 species
UACGGGAGGUGCAAGCGUUACUCGGAAUCACUGGGCGUAAAGGGCGCGUAGGCGGCCUAGCAAGUCUGGUGUGAAAGCCCAGGGCUCAACCCUGGAAGGGCACUGGAAACUGUUAGGCUUGAGAUCCGGAGAGGAGGGGGGAAUUCCCGGUGUAGCGGUGAAAUGCGUAGAUAUCGGGAGGAAUACCGGUGGCGAAGGCGCCCCUCUGGACGGAAACUGACGUUGAGGCGCGAAAGCGUGGGGAGCAAACAGG